AUCGAUCUGAAGGCAUAGCCACGUGCUCUUCUAUUUCUUUCAUUCGGAAGGAAAAGAGGUCUGUGGCCCUAUAAAAAGUAACGUAACUAACUACAUCAGUGGGAUAUGGUGAUCUCCAUUAAGAGCGAUGAGCUCUCUUCCAAGUGAUCAGCCUUGCCUCCUUUCGACGGUGGUUUCUUUCCAACAAUUUUUUAAAGAGUUUGUUGAAGGAGAGAGUGCACCGAAAUGUGCUUUUCCCAAAGCAUAUGCUGGGAAGAUCCCUCCUCCCAACAACCUCACACCCUACAUAAGUCAAUCCUUCGCAGGUUUUUCCAUAUAAUCUGCUCUUCCCUUCAAGAGCAUCAUCUACUUCACACGACACGCCCUAAGCUUCUGGUGGCUCUAGGAGUGGUGGCCAUGGCAGCUGGCAGCCAACAGCCCAAGCUGCGGUGGUGGACACUGAAGAUGACAGGCGGUGCUAGGAAGAAGAGGAAGACUGCACUGAUGGUUAGAUAGUUACCGGGAGAUCACGACUUCUUUCGGGGCGACUCAGAUCCUUUGGCAAAGCGUCUUCGCCAAGAUGCUCAAGCUUGUAACUAUUUUGCUACUGCAUUCAGUACUCCCUGUGGGAGAUCAUGCCAUGCUAUUACUACUCUCGCCUAAAUGCAUAACUUAACCAUACUAAAUGAUGAACAUGCUGGAGUUGUUCUAUACUCUUUGCAGUGAUCUGAACUGCACUUGUAUUCCCUCUUUGCUGUUCAAAUAGAUACCUUUUUUGUUUCA